rnacentral:rRNA from 1 species
UACGGAGGAUGCGAGCGUCAUCCGGAUUUAUUGGGUUUAAAGGGUGCGCAGGCGGCACGGCAAGCCGGCGGUCAAAUCGCGGGGCUCAACCCCGCCCAGCCGUCGGAACUGCCGGGCUAGAGUGGGCGAGAAGUGCGCGGAAUGCGUGGUGUAGCGGUGAAAUGCAUAGAUAUCACGCAGAACUCCGAUUGCGAAGGCAGCGCACCGGCGCCCUACUGACGCUCAGGCACGAAAGCGUGGGUAUCGAACAGG